rnacentral:rRNA from 1 species
UACGUAGGGUGCGAGCGUUUGUCCGGAAUUACUGGGCGUAAAGAGCUCGUAGGUGGUUUGUCGCGUUGUCCGUGAAAACUCACAGCUUAACUGUGGGCGUGCGGGCGAUACGGGCAGACUGGAGUACUGCAGGGGAGACUGGAAUUCCUGGUGUAGCGGUGAAAUGCGCAGAUAUCAGGAGGAACACCAGAGUGCGAAAGGCAGCUCGCUGGGUA